UACGGAGGGGGCUAGCGUUGUUCGGAAUUACUGGGCGUAAAGCGCGCGUAGGCGGAUAUUUAAGUCGGGGGUGAAAGCCCAGGGCUCAACCCUGGAACAGCCUUCGAUACUGGAUAUCUUGAGUACGGGAGAGGUGUGUGGAACUCCGAGUGUAGAGGUGAAAUUCGUAGAUAUUCGGAGGAACACCAGUGGCGAAGGCGGCUCACUGGUCCGGUACUGACGCUGAGGUGCGAAAGCGUGGGGAGCAAACAGGG
rnacentral:rRNA from 1 species